AUAACCGAGAAGCGGGGAUGACGUCAAGUCCUCAUGGCCCUUACAUCCCGGGCUACACGCGUGCUACAAUGGCAGGUACAGAGGGCUGCGAAGCCGCGAGGUGGAGCGAAUCCCAGAAAACCUGUCUCAGUCCGGAUUGAAGUCUGCAACUCGACUUCAUGAAGGCGGAAUCGCUAGUAACCGCGAAUCAGCAGGUCGCGGUCGAAUACGUUCCCGGGCCUU
rnacentral:rRNA from 1 species